CGACAAAAACAAAGAGAGAGAGAGAGAGACAGACCUCUUGGACUCUCGCGUAACGGCAACGAGUCUCUUUCUCAACUCUUGUAUCGAUAUCUGUGCUCUAUUCACCUCUCCCUCUCUCUCUCUUUAAAGCAGCUCACUUUUACUUAAAAUUGCCAGUAGAUCUCACUCUUUUAGGGUUUAAGAGCAUUGUAACUCUCCAGCCAUGGAUUCACUUCUCUCAAGCAGCUCCUAUAGAUUCGUUGGAAAUGGUAAUGUGGUUUCUGAUAUUUAUUUGUUGCGUUUUCUGGUUCUCUGCUUCAAUGUAGGCCGUGAACUUGUCGGAUUGUUAGUAGGUGUUGUUGAUUGGGAAACUAUUGUUAUUGAUAUGAAUAGUGAAAUAAGCCCAAUUAGCUGUGGUAAUGUGUGUCAAAUGAAGAAGUAAUGUUAAAUCUAAGGUUGUAUUAGGAUUAAUUGAGAGCUUUAAUCUUGAGGAAUUUUAAAGGCCUGAUGACUGUUGAGGGUAGCAGAAAGUCCCUUUGUGUUGUAAACUUUUGCUUUUGCUCAUUAAUCAUUUUCUCUGUUCCCCGCUGAUGUUACUUAGGUGGUCAUAUCAUACAAGAGAGAUUUUGCAGAGAGCUGAUCCAAGGAUAUUCUCCUGGUUAGUUUUGAUUAUGCCAGCAAGGUUGUGGGGAUUGGAAUGAAGCCAUUGGUCCGUGUAUACAAAAACAAUUGAUGUCUAUCUU
rnacentral:lncRNA from 1 species